rnacentral:rRNA from 1 species
GACGUAGGGGGCCAGCGUUGCUCGGAAUUACUGGGCGUAAAGGGUUCGUAGGCGGUGCGGCAAGUCGGGAGUGAAAUCUCUGGGCUUAACUCAGGGGCUGCUUCCGAAACUGCCGUGCUUGAGUGCGGGAGAGGCGAGUGGAAUUGCAGGUGUAGCGGUGAAAUGCGUAGAUAUCGGGAGGAACACCUGUGGCGAAAGCGGCUCACUGGACCACAACUGACGCUGAUGCACGAAAGCUAGGGGAGCAAACAGG